GGGUGGGCAGAGCAGUUACCACAUCUCUUAUCUUCCCCCCUUCCCACUUUCCUCAAAGGCCCGGGCUCUGUAUUCUGAUGAUAAGGUGGCCACUUCUGGAUUUACAGAGCAUUUCUACUUCCUGAGCAGGAGCCCCAUAGCAGAGAAGCCAGGCCUCCGUGCGGGACUCCAGCCCAGCCCACGCCUGCCCUCUGCCUCCUUCCUCCCCAUCUGCUGCUUCCUCAGGCCCUAACCUCAGCCCUGACCCCUUCACAGGUUUCUACUGCCCUGAAGGGACAGGGCUUGACUGGCAGCCCUGCCCCCCAGGCACCUACGGCCCCACACUGGGACUGAGUAGGCUGCCAGAAUGUCAAGCCUGUGACAGGGGCAGGUUCUGCCCCAGGGCCAAUGCUACGGAGGCUGGUGGGCAGUGUUGGGAAGGCUUCUUCUGCUCCAGAGGCUCCACCCGGCCCAACCCCGAGGCCGGCACUGAAGAGGAGGCUGGCCCAUGUCCUCAGGGACACUAUUGCCCCAGGGGUUCAGCCGUGCCCCAGCCCUGCCCACCUGGCACCUUCAGCGCACGCAUCAAACUCAGCUCAGAGGUAGGGAGACCCAGCCCAGGAGGAGGCUGUGUGUGGGAAGGGCCCUGUUUGGAUCUAGCCAAGCCACCUUGCCCUUGAGGUCCAAGGUUGCCAUGGGGAUUGGAAAACAGAGCCACCUGGCUAGCCCUUCCUUCCUUGGGGACUGUACUUGAAAGUCACUUUCCCAGGGAGAUCUUCCCUGGCCCUCCUUAGCACAUAUCAUAGUCUACCAUAGU
rnacentral:lncRNA from 12 species